GUGGGGAAUAUUGGACAAUGGGCGCAAGCCUGAUCCAGCCAUGCCGCGUGGAUGAUGAAGGCCUUAGGGUUGUAAAGUCCUUUUAACGGGGAAGAUAAUGACGGUACCCGUAGAAUAAGCCCCGGCUAACUUCGUGCCAGCAGCCGCGGUAAUACGAAGGGGGCUAGCGUUGCUCGGAAUUACUGGGCGUAAAGCGCACGUAGGCGGUUUCUUAAGUCGGGGGUGAAAUCCUGGAGCUCAACUCCAGAACUGCCUUCGAUACUGGGAAACUUGAGUUCGGGAGAGGUGAGUGGAACUGCGAGUGUAGAGGUGAAAUUCGUAGAUAUUCGCAAGAACACCAGUGGCGAAGGCGGCUCACUGGCCCGAUACUGACGCUGAGGUGCGAAAGCGUGGGGAGCAAACAGGAUUAGAUACCCUAGUAGUCC
rnacentral:rRNA from 1 species